rnacentral:rRNA from 1 species
AUCAUGGGGUCAGCUUGCUGACUCUGAUGGCGACCGGCGCACGGGUGCGUAACGCGUAUCGAACCUGCCCGUUACUCGGGGAUAGCCUUGCGAAAGUAAGAUUAAUACCCGAUGCGAUGAAUUUUCCGCAUGGUGGAUUCAUGAAAGAUUUAUUGGUAACGGAUGGCGAUGCGUCCCAUUAGGCAGUAGGCGGGGUAACGGCCCACCUAACCUACGAUGGGUAGGGGUUCUGAGAGGAAGGUCCCCCACACUGGAACUGAGACACGGUCCAGACUCCUACGGGAGGCAGCAGUGAGGAAUAUUGGUCAAUGGCCGAGAGGCUGAACCAGCCAAGUAGCGUGCAGGAUGACGGCCCUCGUGGUUGUAAACUGCUUUUAGUCGGGAAUAAAAGGGGGUUCGUGAAUCCCGUAUUGUAUGUACCGUCAGAAAAAGGACCGGCUAAUUCCGUGCCAGCAGCCGCGGUAAUACGGAAGGUCCGGGCGUUAUCCGGAUUUAUUGGGUUUAAAGGGAGCGUAGGCGGGCCGUUAAGUCAGUUGUGAAAGUUCGGGGCUCAACCCCGGAAUUGCAGUUGAAACUGCCGGUCUUGAGUACACGCAGGGAAGCCUGAAUUCAUGGUGUAGCGGUGAAAUGCUUAGAUAUCAUGAAGACGACCGAUCGCGAAGGCAGGUUUCCGGAGUGUAACUGACGCUGAGGCUCGAAAGUGCGGGUAUCAAACA